UGGUUCUUGUCAUCAUUCUCCCCGGUGCGC
rnacentral:piRNA from 1 species